GGCAGGGUUCGAAAGGUCAAUACAAACUAAUAGAGUCCCCUAAAAGGUAACCUUAAAUCUGUAAUUACCUGAUUUUGCUUUACAAAAGUAUAAAAAAGGUUACAGAAUGGCUUAUAUAUAUUCAGGGUUAAUACCCAUUUGCAAAUGACAGGACCAUGAGUAAACAAAUGUUGAAUAUAACUUAUCAUCACAUGACUUAGGGAUAGAAAUUUAUGUAAUUAUCUGAUUUCACAUGGCUAAAUAACUUAGAAGUCAAAGAUAGCUGUACACAAAUUAAGUCCAAUAAUUAU
rnacentral:lncRNA from 1 species